rnacentral:rRNA from 1 species
AAGAUAAUGACGGUACCCGCAGAAGAAGCCCCGGCUAACUCCGUGCCAGCAGCCGCGGUAAUACGGAGGGUGCAAGCGUUAAUCGGAAUUACUGGGCGUAAAGCGCGCGUAGGCGGUUUGCCAAGUUGAGGGUGAAAUCCCGGGGCUCAACCCCGGAACUGCCUUCAAAACUGGCAGACUUGAGUCCGGAAGAGGAGAGUGGAAUUCCCAGUGUAGAGGUGAAAUUCGUAGAUAUUGGAAAGA